rnacentral:rRNA from 1 species
AUUAAUAAGCGGAGGAAAAGAAACUAACAAGGAUUCCCUCAGUAACGGCGAGUGAAGCGGGAAGAGCUCAAAUUUGAAAUCUCCGAUGCUUGCAUCGGCGAGUUGUAGUUGCGAGAAGCACUUUCUAGGCGGAUCGACGGUGCCUAAGUUGCUUGGAACGGCACGUCGCAGAGGGUGACAACCCCGUCUGUGGCGCCGCCGGCCGCCGACGAUGUGCUUUCGAAGAGUCGGGUUGUUUGGGAAUGCAGCCCAAAACGGGUGGUAAACUCCAUCUAAAGCUAAAUACUGGCGUGAGACCGAUAGCGAACAAGUACCGUGAGGGAAAGAUGAAAAGAACUUUGAAAAGAGAGUUAAAAAGUACGUGAAACCGUCGAAAGGGAAACGAAUGGACUCAGCAAUGCGCCCUCUGAGAUUCAGCCGGUGGGUGGCGGCGGCGCCGGGUUUGCGGAUCUGAAUGGACCGCGGCCUGGCGCCCRCCUCUCCCCGCCGUCGCACUUCUCUGGGGCGCGCGUCAACGUGGGUUGGGACUGGGUCUGAAAGGCGCCGGGAAGGUAGGUGUGGGCCUUCGGGUCCGUUCUGUUACAGCCCGGUUCUCUCAUGGCUCGGGCCCGACCGAGGAGCGACACGGGGCAUGCCUCCUGUGGCUAGGGUCCCGCCCUUCCGGCCGGCUGUCCAGUGCGGUGGACUGCUUGCAGUGCUCCGCGACGGCUGCCGGUCGUUGGGGUGGUGAUCUCGUACCAUGCCCCUAGGAUGUUGGCGGUCAU